CCUACGGGGGGCUGCAGUGGGGAAUAUUGGACAAUGGGGGCAACCCUGAUCCAGCCAUGCCGCGUGUGUGAAGAAGGCCCUCGGGUUGUAAAGCACUUUCAGUGAGGAAGAACGCCUGGUGGUUAAUACCCAUCAGGAAAGACAUCACUCACAGAAGAAGCACCGGCUAACUCCGUGCCAGCAGCCGCGGUAAUACGGAGGGUGCGAGCGUUAAUCGGAAUUACUGGGCGUAAAGCGCGCGUAGGUGGCUUGAUAAGCCGGUUGUGAAAGCCCCGGGCUCAACCUGAGAACGGCAUCCGGAACUGUCAAGCUAGAGUGCAGGAGAGGAAGGUAGAAUUCCCGGUGUAGCGGUGAAAUGCGUAGAGAUCGGGAGGAAUACCAGUGGCGAAGGCGGCCUUCUGGACUGACACUGACACUGAGGUGCGAAAGCGUGGGUAGCAAACAGGAUUAGAUACCCCAGUAGUC
rnacentral:rRNA from 1 species